rnacentral:rRNA from 1 species
AUUGAACGCUGGCGGCAGGCCUAACACAUGCAAGUCGAGCGAGCGGCGGACGGGUGAGGCAUGUCUGGGAACCUGGCUGAGGGAGGGGGAUAACUACAGGAAACGGUAGCAAAUACCGCAUCCCAUAAAGUGUGCCCAGAUGGGAUUAGCUAGUGGGUGGGGUAAUGUACAACCUAGGGGACGAUCCCUAGCUGGUCGGAGAGGAUGACCAGCCACACUGGAACUGAGACACGGUCCAGACUCCUACGGGGGGCAGCAUUGGGGAAUAUUGCACAAUGGGCGCAAGCCUGAUGCAGCCAUGCCGCGUGUGUGAAGAAGGCCUUCGGGUUGUAAAGCACUUUCAGCGGGGAGGCGUUACCCGCAGAAGAAGCACCGGCUAACUCCGUGCCAGCAGCCGCGGUAAUAC